CAGUAGGGUGCCAUCAAGA
rnacentral:rRNA from 1 species